rnacentral:rRNA from 1 species
GGUCAAGUUAUUAAGAGUCUACGGUGGAUGCCUUGGGGCCAAGGGCCGAAGAAGGGCGCGGCAAGACUGCGAAAAGCCUCGGUGAGCCGUCUGGCGAGCUUAGCCGGGGAUACCCGAAUGGGGAAACCCAUCCUGGCUCAUACCAGGAAACCCUGCGAAAACGCAGGGAGGUAAGUGGGGGAACUGAAACAUCUAAGUACCCUGAGGAAAAUAAAUCAACAGAGAUUCCCCUAGUAGUGGCGAACGAACGGGGAAGAGCUCAAACCUAUCGGACUUAGUGGACUGGGGUCCUAUGUCCGGUGGGGGUUGUAACACAUGCUAGUUCAAGCCCCAGCGAGAACACGGAGUAAGAAACCCGAACCUUAGCUGAACGAAUCUGGAAAGGACGACCGAAGAGGGUGAUAGUCCCGUAAGCGAAAGGGUUUGGGCUCCUGGCAUGCUGUUGAGUACCACGGGACACGUGAAAUCCUGUGGGAAGCUGGGGGGACCACCCUCCAAAGCUAAAUACCCUUGGCCACCGAUAGUGAACCAGUACCGUGAGGGAAAGGUGAAAAGAACCCCGGGAGGGGAGUGAAAUAGACCUGAAACCGUAGACUUACAAGCCGUGGAAGGCUGGGCUUCGGCCCGGCUGACUGCGUGCCUAUUGAAGAAUGAGCCGGCGAGUUAAUUUAGGCAGCAAGGUUAAGGGAUAUAAGUUCCGGAGCCGAAGCGAAAGCGAGUCUGAACAGGGCGUGCAGUUGUCUGGAUUAGACCCGAAACCGGGUGAGCUACCCAUGGCCAGGCUGAAGCUCAGGUAGUACUGAGUGGAGGGCCGAACCCGUGUACGGUGCAAAGUGCUGGGAUGAGCUGUGGGUAGAGGUGAAAUGCCAAUCGAACCCGGAGAUAGCUGGUUCUCCCCGAAAUGUAUUUAGGUACAGCCUCAAGUUAGUUUUGUGGAGGUAGGGCACUGGAUGGGCUAGGGGGCGUGAGCUUACCAACCCCAACCAAACCACGAAUGCCAUAAAAUGAUGCUUGGGAGUGAGACAGUGGGGGAUAAGCUCCAUUGUCGAGAGGGAAACAGCCCAGACCGCAGGCUAAGGCCCCCAAGUGUGGACUAAGUGUGAAAGGAAGUGGGAAUCCCCAGACAGCUAGGAGGUUGGCUUAGAAGCAGCCAUCCUUUAAAGAGUGCGUAACAGCUCACUAGUCGAGGGCUCCUGCGCCGAAAAUGUAACGGGGCUAAAGUCCACCGCCGAAGCCGCGGAAUUCUGCUCUAUUUAUGAGCGGGGUUGGUAGGGGAGCGUUGUCAGGGCAUUGAAGCUGGUGCCGUAAGGCCUGGUGGAGCGCUGAGAAGUGAGAAUGCCGGCAUGAGUAGCGACAAUCCUGGUGCGAAUCCAGGACACCGAAAGCCCAAGGUUUCCUACGCAACGUUGAUCGGCGUAGGGUAAGUCGGUCCUAAGCUGUAGCGUACCGCGAAAGCGAUGGACAGCAGGUCAAAAUUCCUGCACCACUGUUAUACCGCUCUAAAGCAGAGGAGGGACGUGGGAAGGUAGGCAGGGCGCGCCCAUCGGACAUGGCGCGUUUGCCCUUGUAGGCGACGACGGGGAUAGGCAAAUCCGUUCCCAGAGCUGAGGGGGGUGAAAACUCCAGGGAUAAAACCCGGGGGAAUCUUGCUGAACCUAUGCCACCAAGAAAAUCUUCGCUGCCAGGGAUUCCAGUGACCGUACCGCAAACCGACACAGGUGGGCAAGGGUAAAAGUCCUAAGGUGAACGGGAGAACCCUCGUUAAGGAACUCGACAAGUUAGCCCUGUAACUUCGGGAGAAAGGGUGCCCAUGGGGUGAUGUCACAUGCUGACUAAGCCCUUGUGGGCCGCAGUGAAGAGGCUCAGGCGACUGUUUACCAAAAACACAGGUCUCUGCUAAGCCGAAAGGCGAUGUAUAGGGGCUGACGCCUGCCCAGUGCCGGAAGGUUAAGAGGCGAGGUUCGACGCAAGUCAAAGCUUCAAAUCGAAGCCCCGGUGAACGGCGGCCGUAACUAUAACGGUCCUAAGGUAGCGAAAUCC